GUGCUCACUUCGGCAGCACAUACACUAGCACUGGAACCAUACAGAGAAGAUGUGCAGGGCCCAGGCACAAAGAUGACACCCAGAUUCGUGAAGCGGUCCAUAUUUAA